rnacentral:rRNA from 1 species
UACGAAGGGAGCUAGCGUUGUUCGGAAUCAUUGGGCGUAAAGCGCACGUAGGCGGUCUGUUAUGUCGGAUGUGAAAGCCCUCGGCUCAACUGAGGAAGUGCAUCCGAAACUGGCAGGCUAGAGUACUAAAGAGGGUCGCGGAAUUCCCGGUGUAGAGGUGAAAUUCGUAGAUAUCGGGAGGAACACCGGUGGCGAAGGCGGCGACCUGGGUAGAUACUGACGCUGAGGUGCGAAAGCGUGGGGAGCAAACAGG